rnacentral:rRNA from 1 species
GAUGAACGCUGGCGGCGUGCCUAAUACAUGCAAGUCGAGCGAACAGAUGAGGAGCUUGCUCCUCUGACGUUAGCGGCGGACGGGUGAGUAACACGUGGAUAACCUACCUAUAAGACUGGGAUAACUUCGGGAAACCGGAGCUAAUACCGGAUAAUAUAUUGAACCGCAUGGUUCAAUAGUGAAAGACGGUUUUGCUGUCACUUAUAGAUGGAUCCGCGCCGCAUUAGCCAGUUGGUAAGGUAACGGCUUACCAAGGCAACGAUGCGUAGCCGACCUGAGAGGGUGAUCGGCCACACGGGAACUGAGACACGGUCCAGACUCCUACGGGAGGCAGCAGGAGGGAAUCUUCCGCAAUGGGCGAAAGCCUGACGGAGCAACGCCGCGUGAGUGAUGAAGGUCUUCGGAUCGUAAAACUCUGUUAUUAGGGAAGAACAAAUGUGUAAGUAACUAUGCACGUCUUGACGGUACCUAAUCAGAAAGCCACGGCUAACUACGUG